CCUGAGAAACCCGAAAGAUCGAAUGGGGAGAUUCAUCGUCAGCUCAUUUUGUAUAUGUAUAAGUUAUGAUGCGGGUUACUACUUGUAGUAUUGCCUGCACAUUCUUGUAUAUUUAGUUGCAAGAUGUUGUCGGCGUGCACUUCUCCCCUAGUAGGACGUCGCGACCUGUUGGGUGUCGGUCUACGGCCCAAGUGAUAGCCUUUAAUGUAAUUUAAAAAACAUUGAAGAUCCUUGGUGUUUUCUGACCGGCUACUUGGCAGUAUUCGUACGGUAUUUAGCCGCUAAAUUUAUUAAGCGUCCAUAUCCAUCACAAGCGAGGCUAAUUUACUGAUAGUACGGACCUAGUGCCGUCGUUGGUAUUGGCCAGCUGUUGGUUGAUGGUAUUCUAGGACUGGCUAAAAUUAAUUACCGGUCGGCGAUGCUACUGCUUUGGGUACUUUCAGG
rnacentral:rRNA from 1 species